AUAUUACUUUUAACAUUUUUCUCCACAGCCGUUUCCGUUUCCUUCUCCCUCUCUACUCUUCUUCUUCGACAUAUCUCAAGACCGAGACCCAAACAUGACCAAAGACCCGGACUUUCCACUCCCGGUGACCUGGAACCAACGAUUCCGACUAUGAACACUCACAUAGCAAGAUUUGAAACUCUGAGUCCUUGGACUCCUCAGUUUCCUUUUCCGACGUUCAACCCCCACUAUCCCGAACAUUCUUGACUCCGGUGACUAGUAAAAGACCCCAGAUUAGCUCCAACAGUGGCGAUGGCUUGAGAUAUUGGCGUGAUUGGUUGCUGCUCAUACACAUAGAUGAGAACAUCUCUUAUGCUUAAACUGUUUUAUUUUUGGGCUGUUGAAUUUUUAUUGGACUUGCAUUGGGCUCUGAGAAUUCUUUUGUUGUAUUGAGCUUGAACUU